UGAAAGUUGGACCUUGCAACUCAAAGAUCAGUAUAUGGAAUGGAAGAUAAUUACAGUACAGACCUGCUAAUUCUGAACAUUUAUGACCUCAACUGCUUAGUUCCACUCCCCGCCCCACCCCAGGAAAAUGGCAAGUGGAAAUACCCCAGCUGGCUCUAGAAGCUAUUGUAUGUACUCUCAGGGGUGUUGACUUUCGGGUCAUGAAUGCAUUCACUUCAAGAGAGGAGGGAGAAGAUGUUAGAAGAUGCAGGACCAGUUUCCCCUGUGGACAGAGGCCGUGGACGGCAUGUCUGCUGACCCACUAGUUGGGACUGCUUUGGCUCUUGCUGAAAUUGCAUUUCACUUGUUUCUGACCUAAUUAGGUCUGAACUCUUGGAACGUGGUCAAGCUUUUGCUUGCAUGCGGGAGUGCAAACACAGAUAGAUGCCUUACUGAGAUGGACAGGAAGAAUCUCUGGGGCAGAACUUGGGCUUCCAUGGGCCCAUCAACUUUGGGGUGUUUGCACUGUCAACAAUCCACUGGGAUGAGAAGAAGAUACUAGAACUUUUCUGAAUAUAUUUUGGUCAAAACGGUCAGAAAAGGUACGAAAUUAAAAGAAGCAUGACUAGUACUUAAUAUAUAUAGCUUGAAAUCAAUACAUGUAUACAAUUUAAUCAUGACUAUUCAUAUACCAGGGAUGAUCAAAUCAUUUAGGGAUGGGGAUACAUGAUCAAAACAGUUUGACAACCUCUAGUCUAUGGGAAGACGCACAGUGUUUUCCAGGGCAGCUGAGUAGAGCCCUUGCUCACCCUCCCAGAGCUGCUCCAGCUCCUUCCCACUCAUUUUCCUGUAUUCCUGGACAGUCUGGAUAUUCCAAACAGCUGCCAGCUCUCUGAAUGUGCUCUGCUGUUGUGUGCCCUGGGGUCUUUUCACCUGCCAUUUUCAACUUUGGAUCUCUUUCCCUCUGCUUAGUAAACCUUUUUUUACUUUUGUAAACAGUUUACUGUACUUGCUGGACAACAUGGAUCUGUCAGCCCUAUUACUCUCUCCUCAUAACUCUGUUAUUGCUUUACAAGUUUGUCACCCUUUUAUUUUUGGAGCAGCUGAAGGAUAAAGCUUGUUCUUUUACAUUUGUGUAUAAACGUCUGUAGAAUGAACAAAAGAAUGAAGUUAACAAACCUAGCCUUCAUUGAUGACUAGCUGUAGGGUUUACACCCUGAGAUUUGUUUGGGUCACCAGGAGGGGUCGCUGUUGGCACUUCCUGUAAUGGCCAGCGCCUGGCUGGUGGCUCUUUUCUGAGCAGUAGGUUCUCUCCCAAUAUAGCAGAGUCUAACUUAUUACCUCCUUCCCUCACCCUUCCUCCACUCACUUUCUUGAAAAGGGGACAGAGGCUGAGCCUAGAAGACAGGACACAGCCUCUGACUUCAUAAUAAAACUUUGUGUGCGAGGGGUUCCCCAAGAGCCCCCAGGAUGAACAUGUUGCUGGAUGGACUCACAAAUGCUGCUGGGGAAAUUGUUGAUGCUACCUUGCUUCUUCUAGACCAGAGAGCUAUUCUGGAACAAGCAACAGUACAUAAAGAGGCUUUUGAAAAUGUCAGUGGCUGAGAAACUGCAACCAGCAGCUAUGAGCGGAUUUUGAGGGGCAUAAAACCACACAGCUCCUGAAAGCAGCUGGACGUUCCACUGGCAAGCUGGACAGAAAAGUGCACCAAACUAGGCGAGAUCUUUUUAUUAACCACAGUGUCAGAGAAUGGCGAAUACAUGGCUAUUUGACUGUAAUUAUGAAAGCACUGGUACAAAUAAAAAAGGAGUACAGAAUGUCUUAGUCCCAUUCUUUAAGAUUUCUGUUAAUUUUUAAACUGUAUUUUAAUUUAAGGACAU
rnacentral:lncRNA from 10 species